AGCGAACGCUGGCGGUAGGCCUAACACAUGCAAGUCGAACGGAAGCACCGUAAGAGCUUGCUCUUACGGGUGGCGAGGGGCGGACGGGUGAGGAAUACAUCGGAAUCUUCUUUUUCGUGGGGGAUAACGGAGGGAAACCUACGCUAAUACCGCAUACGACCUACGGGUGAAAGCAGGGGAUUGUCGGGCCUGGUGGGAUUGAAUGCGCCGAUGUCGGAUUAGCUGGUUGGGGGGGGCAAGGCCAACCAAGGCGGCGAUCCGGAGCUGGUCAGAGAGGAUGGUCAGCCACACGGGAACGGAGACACGGACCAGACUCCUGAGAGACGCAGCAGUGGGGAAUAUGAGGCAGUGGUGGCAAGCCUGAUCCAGCCGUACCGCGUGGGAGAAGGAGACCCUCGGUUUGUGAAGACCUUUUGUGGGUAGAGAACCGCAGCCGGUUAAUACGCCGCGGUUCUGACGGUACCCAAAGAAGAAGCACCGGCUAACUACGUG
rnacentral:rRNA from 1 species